rnacentral:lncRNA from 1 species
UCGGUUGCAUUUUAAGAUACCAGGUAAGACUGCAUUGACAACAGUAGGAGCACUUACCAAGAGCUUCACUUCUGAGACAAAUUCCGUGCCAGCUCUGUUUAGAAAGAGUGGGUGGCUCUGAAAAGAGCCUUUGGGGGCGGGCGGCGGGGCGGCCGCGCUCACUUGGAGCUCGUGUACUUGGUGACGGCCUUGGUGCCCUCCGACACCGCGUGCUUCGCCAGCUCCCCGGGCAGCAGCAGCCGCACGGCCGUCUGGAUCUCCCGAGACGUGAUGGUCGAGCGCUUGUUGUAGUGCGCCAGGCGCGACGCCUCGCC